rnacentral:tRNA from 1 species
GCCUGGGUGGCUCAGUUGGUUAAGCGUCUGACUUCGGCUCAGGUCAUGAUCUCACGGUCCGUGAGUUCGAAACCCGCGUCGGGCU